rnacentral:rRNA from 1 species
GACGAACGCUGGCGGCGUGCUUAACACAUGCAAGUCGAACGGAAAGGCCCUGCUCUUGCGGGGUGCUCGAGUGGCGAACGGGUGAGUAACACGCGAGUAACCUGCCCUUGACUUUGGGAUAACUUCAGGAAACUGGGGCUAAUAUCGGAUAGGAGCUCCUGCUGCAUGGUGGGGGUUGGAAAGUUUCGGCGGUUGGGGAUGGACUCGCGGCUUAUCAGCUUGUUGGUGGGGUAGUGGCUUACCAAGCCUUUGACGGGUGGCCCGCCUGAGAGGGUGACCGGCCACAUGGGGACUAAGGUACGGCCCAGACUCCUACGGGAGGCAGCAGGGGGGAAUAUUACACAAUAGGCGGAAGCCUGAUGCGGCAACGCCGCGUGCGGGAUGACGGCCUUCGGGUUGUAAACCGCUUUCGCCUGUGACAAAGCGUGAGUGACGGUAAUGGGUAAAAAAGCACCGGCUAACUACGUG